rnacentral:rRNA from 1 species
AACGAACGCUGGCGGCGUGCUUAACACAUGCAAGUCGAACGCGAAAGGGGCUUCGGUCCUGAGUAGAGUGGCGCACGGGUGAGUAACGCGUAGAUAACCUGUCCUGGUGUCUGGAAUAACGCCUCGAAAGGGGCACUAAUACCGGAUAUUCUUGCUUUCUUCAAGGUAUGCAAGGAAAGGUGGCCUCUGGAACAAGCUACUGCACGAGGAGGGGUCUGCGUACCAUUAGCUAGUAGGUGGGGUAAUGGCCUACCUAGGCGACGAUGGUUAGCGGGUCUGAGAGGAUGAUCCGCCACACUGGCACUGGAAUACGGGCCAGACUCCUACGGGAGGCAGCAGUGAGGAGUAUUGCGCAAUGGGGGCAACCCUGACGCAGCGACGCCGCGUGAGUGAGGAAGGCCUUCGGGUCGUAAAGCUCUGUCAAGAGGGAAGAAGUGCAUGGUGGUUAAUAUCUGUCAUGUUUGACGGUACCUCUAAAGGAAGCACCGGCUAACUCCGUGCCAGCCGCCGCUGUAACAC